CCAGACUCCUACGGGAGGCAGCAGUGAGGAAUAUUGGUCAAUGGACGAGAGUCUGAACCAGCCAAGUAGCGUGAAGGAUGACUGCCCUAUGGGUUGUAAACUUCUUUUAUAAAGGAAUAAAACGAGGCACGUGUGCCUUUUUGCAUGUACUUUAUGAAUAAGGAUCGGCUAACUCCGUGCCAGCAGCCGCGGUAAUACGGGGGAUGCAAGCGUUAUCCGGAUUUAUUGGGUUUAAAGGGUGCGUAGGCUGUGAGGUAAGUCAGCGGUGAAAUGCCCCCGCUCAACGGGGUGAAGUGCCAUUGAUACUGCCUUGCUGGAAUGCGGAUGCCGUGGGAGGAAUGUGUGGUGUAGCGGUGAAAUGCAUAGAUAUCACACAGAACACCGAUUGCGAAGGCAUCUCACGAAUCCGCGAUUGACGCUGAGGCACGAAAGCGUGGGUAUCAAACAGGAUUAGAUACCCGUGUAC
rnacentral:rRNA from 1 species